rnacentral:lncRNA from 10 species
UGUUCAGGCGCUUCGUGGAGGUUGGCCGGGUGGCCUAUGUCUCCUUUGGACCUCAUGCCGGAAAAUUGGUCGCGAUUGUAGAUGUUAUUGAUCAGAACAGGGCUUUGGUCGAUGGACCUUGCACUCAAGUGAGGAGACAGGCCAUGCCUUUCAAGUGCAUGCAGCUCACUGAUUUCAUCCUCAAGUUUCCGCACAGGUAACUGUCCACUAAUCACUCCUCCCUCCCAUCCCCAGAUUUGUUUAUGCUAGUAAAAGUUUGUUUUGGAGUAAACAAUACGGAAGAUUCAGAGCCAUCCUGAAGAGGGAUUUGCAUCAUAGAAGUAGACAGGGAUUAUUUACUUUUAAAAUGUCUUGCCUGCGCGUGAUAGCUCAUGCCUGUAAUCCCAGUACUUUGGGAGGCCACGGUGGGAGGGUCUCUUGAGCCCAAGUUUCAAGACCAGCAUGGGCAACAUGGCGAAAACCCCCAUCUCUACAAAAAAUAAAAAAAAAAUUCGUUGGGCAUGGUGGCACGCGCCUGUAAUCCCAGGUAGGGGGGCCUUGGGGGUGCUGAGUUGGGAGGAUCGUUUUAGCGAGGUCGAGGCUGCAGAGAGCCGUGAUCAUGCCACUGCACUCCAGC